rnacentral:lncRNA from 1 species
AUUCUUUGGUUGACUUUGGAUAUAGCAGCUGAAAACCCUGAGAGUCCCCAAAGAGUUCCAAGCUUUCACCAUGACUGCUGGGUGGGGGUGAUGCUCCUUCAGUGUUGGUGAAGACUUAAGUCUUUUCCUCAUCUCUUUCCUGAUGUUUGGGGCCUUCUCCAUGGGCCGGAACUUGGGCCAGGGUCUUGGAAGAGCCUCUCCUCUCUCAUAACCUCACGCAAGCUGAUUAAUGAAAACAAACUUUUUUUUUUUUUUUUAGUUUACUUAUUUGACUUCCUUUAUAAACGUUUCCAACCAGGUUUUAUGCCUGGUAAUGAAAUUAUGCUUAUUUUUAAACUUCUAAAAAUGUUUCCGUCAUCCUUGAGUUGGCUGGAAUUUCAAUUUAUUCAGGCAUGGAUUAUUCAAAAAGAAGCUUGCUGUAUUUGGCAAAUGGUCACAUCUCAAAUAUGAACAUCACCCAGAGGUUACCCAGGUGAUCCCAGGCCAUCUCGGGUAUGCAGCUGUGCAGAACUUGAUCUUGAAGGACAGAUGGCAUUAGGGGGAGUUCUUUUAUACCUUGCACUGACCAGGGCUAAGUUUCUGACAUUUCUGU